UGGUGACCCAUCAGCGUUGCCACCUGC
rnacentral:piRNA from 1 species